rnacentral:ncRNA from 1 species
UUAAAAACAAUGACAGGAAGAGUACAUAAGCUGUGAUGUCAAAGCGAACCGGUGGUGGUGAGAGUCCGGUACAGAGCGUUUAUCGAAGAACAUCCUCGAGUUUCCAACCGAAAUCUUUUGAGAGUAGACUUGGACGUAGGCUGCACGUUAUAGCAGAUAGGUAUCGAUUAUUCUGUACUGAUUAGAGUGAGCUAAACGCUAAUUAAGGUGGCACCGCGAAUUUAACCUUCGUCCUUAAA